GACGAACGCUGGCGGCGUGCCUAAUACAUGCAAGUUGAGCGAUGAAGCUUGGUGCUUGCCCCAAUUUGAAGAGCAGCGAACGGGUGAGUAACGCGUGGGGAAUCUGCCUUUGAGGGGGGGACAACUUUUGGAAACGAAUGCUAAUACCGAAUAAAAACUUUAAACAUAAGUUUUAAGUUUGAAAGAUGAAAUUGCAUCACUCAAGGAUGAUCCCGCGUUGUAUUAGCUAGUUGGUGAGGUAAAGGCUCACCAAGGCGAUGAUACAUAGCCGACCUGAGAGGGUGAUCGGCCACAUUGGGACUGAGACACGGCCCAAACUCCUACGGGAGGCAGCAGUAGGGAAUCUUCGGCAAUGGACGAAAGUCUGACCGAGCAACGCCGCGUGAGUGAAGAAGGUUUUCGGAUCGUAAAACUCUGUUGGUAGAGAAGAACGUUGGUGAGAGUGGAAAGCUCAUCAAGUGACGGUAACUACCCAGAAAGGGACGGCUAACUACGUG
rnacentral:rRNA from 1 species